UGGCUUGAUCUAAACAAAGAUGAUAUCAAUACAAAGAAUGGGUUAGGCAACACAGGAAACAGUAAACCAGACAGUGUCGAAUGGAGUACCUUUCAUGGAGUGUAGCUGACGAGAAAUCUGCGUCGAUUGGCAUGAUCUUUGCUGACCUGCCUUUGUUAUAUUGAGCUACCUGCUUCAGAUGAAUUAGAUGCCAUUAAAAUCGAAGGGUUGCUCCAACAUUUCUAAAUGUUGCAAUUAAUGUGUGUCUCAACUCAUAUAUACAAAGUCCAGUCAAUGAUUUUGGGACAAUUCACAUGGUUGAUUGAUAUUUAAUUGUACUUCUGAUAACUGUACUACUACAAAAACUGAAAUCAAGUUCUACUGGAUAUGGUAAUUAUAUCCCUUCACCAGUAGAAUUGACUGUCUUACCUCACUGUCACUUUCUUCACUAGAAUCAAGAUGUGAGUAGAAGGAAACAGGCGAAUCAGACUGGGACUCCUCAAGCAUCUCAUGGAGGCACCUGCUGUCAUAGCUCCCUUUGGUAUCUUCCUGAUAAUCUUCAUCUGCAAUGCUGAGAAAAUCCUUCAGCUCAGUGAAACCAUCAUGAGCACCGUGCGAUGUGGAGGCUGUGCUCAUUCCUUCAUGAUCAACCGAUCGGGUUGUCCUAUCCUGCACAAAUGUUAAAUUCGCUUUCAGCUCUCAAAUGCAGGCUAGAUCAACUCUUCUAUGCACGCAUUGCAUUCUAUCAAGAUAUGUAUACAGAAUAUGAUAAAAUACCUCUGAAAAAUUCGGCCAUCGCCGAACGACAGAGCUUCCCGAUCUUCCUAACUGAAGACACCUGCUCAUGGCAAUAUAUGUAUCUUCAGACAGUGAGACAACUGUGCCUUUUUUACUAUAUACCUAUGGGUAGCAACAGCAACUAGCAAGCACUACUUCAGACAGAGUAUAGACAAUGGAACAACUACACUGACAGCAUCAUUUCACCUAUUGGUUUUUGAACUAUGUAUAGACAAUGUAGCACAGCAGCAGUACUCAAGAUGAUCUCUCUAGAUGCUGUUAUCAUUCUGCAGGCAUGCAGCUGUGGGUCAGGAUGGUUUAGUGUACAUGCUUGUCUCGAGCGCAGUGGAGAAUCUUUGCCGCAGCUUUGCUUGAAGGGUUAGUCAGGAAUGAGAAGGUGUGAAAAGAAAGUGCAGAUAUAUGCCCAUGAUUUUCACAAUGUGCUUCAAAUAUGGGCGUUUUGGACAGAGCAAGGAGAAAGGAAAUCUUUUUUUUUUCAAAAAUCCCAAAAUGUUGUCCUGCAACAGAAUUGUUCAAGAGAAAAAAGGGCUCCUCUUUUAUUUUGGCUAGGAUCAAGGAAUUUAGUGUAGCUAUGACCAUAAAUUGUAAGUUUGCAAUCUUUAUGAUUUGCUCAUGCAGUUGCAAUUGUCGCCAAAAUACAGCCAUAAGAAAAGAAAAACCCUCCUUAUCUUUUAAUAUAUAUAUUUUGCAUAAAAAUCCAUGGAGAAAAUUUAGCAAGGGAGUUGA